rnacentral:lncRNA from 10 species
CUGUGAGCCCUGGGAUGAAGUCACCUACAGCCCUAAGACCUGAAAUGCACAUCUCAGCAGAAGCCUGACUGCAGCCGUUAUCCUUGCUGUGGAGAUGAACCAAAGGCCCAAGCGUGAGUGACUUCAAGAUGAAACUCAGGAGCUGAGGCUCAGUGUGGACAUUAAAUUUCCGAUGCCAGAUAAGAAAUCAAAUUCUAAUUCUUCACAAAAUUACUGUCUUCAAUUUCCGUUGGCAUAUCUAAGAAAUACUGGACUGUUACUAAUUGGCCCCUUAGCUCUGUGUCCUGGAACAGAAGAAAUUAAGUUCAGGAAAUAUUUCUGUUGCAGGCUAUCUAGAAACUUAAAAAAAAAAAAAAAAAAAAAAAGCCUCCCUUAGUAACUUUUACUGAUAGCCAUUGAUGUAGGAAAGAAAAUCUAUAUUUAGAGAACAUACUUUUAAAAUCAGCUUUCUUUUCAAUAAAAUGCCUUCAAUUCCUAUGUUUUUCAAUUAGUUCAGAGUCUAAGAACAAACAUUUACUGAAUGCUUAUGGGAUAGAAAGCAUAGUACUAAAUGCGGUGGGUGAUUUAAAAUAAUUGAUGUGUAGUAGAACUUGUUACUGAAAGUGUCAUACACAGACCGACAACAUUAGCAUCACUUGGGAGCUUCUUAGAACUACAGAUCUCAGGCCUUAAUUUAGGUCUACUAAGCCAUUUUGAUAACAUCUCUAGGGGAUCUGUAUGAAUAUUAAAGAUUGAGAAAUAUUGCAAUAGAAGAUGUGGUCUUGCCUUCUCAAAGCAGCUGGAAAAGCACCAUGUACAUAUAUGAAAACGUAAAUCAUAUUAAAAAUU